GGGGAAGCAGAGAAAGAAAACCUUAGAGGAUUGAAAUAAAGCUCGGAACAAGCAAAAUAACGCAGUGUUCUCCAUUAAAAGACAAGAACAUAACAGGUAUCAGGAAAGAGAUUGACAGGUCAGAUGGCUCAGGAAAGGGAAGAAGGGGGUGGGUUUCUAAUGCAUAUAUUCAUUUACAAUACAUUCAUUCAAUCAAUGCUGUGAAGCUGUUUCUCAUUACUCGGAAUCAAAUGAACGGAAACAUAAUAUUAUUUUCUACCCUCUCUUGCGGGAGGCAGGGAGGAGGAAAAAGCAGGGGUGGGGGCAAAGGGGGAGGAAAAGAGAAAAGGGGGGGACGGGGGGGACGGUGGGGCGGGACGGGAGGAAAAAGGAAAAAAAGGAAAAAAAAACGAACGCGAAGGAAGGGGUGGACGGAGGGGAGGGGGCCUCCGGUUUGAUUAAAAAAAAAAAAGCUGAAAAACUAAACGGCUUAAAAAGUCUACUUUUGAUCUCACAAGCCACAAAAUCUAUUAACGAGCCAGGAAAAUUCUAUGCUUACAAACCAAUUCAAACUUUCACCUAACCCACCUCUUGCGCUUGCUCUCUUCCUCCCUCUUCUUCCAGCAAAUCGUCCCCUUUAUUUCCUCCCAUUGCGCUCUCUCUCUCUCCUUCUCCACUUUUUUCCGCUCAUCUCUUUUCAGCACAUUCUGGUGUCCCCGUCAUUUUUUUUCUUUUCUGAAAAUCUUCAAAGUAAUAAAAUAAUGUAAGGGCAUUUAUGGUUCUUUUGCGCACUGCACAAGCGAUGGUUUAUGGGGCUCACUAACACAAAAUUAAUGAAAACCAACUAGCUAACCCCAGUUUAUCAUAAAUUCAUGGCCUCCCAUAAAGGAGGCUAGGGUUCGACUCUUGCCAAGUUGCAAAAGUUGUCCAAGCUUUGGCUGGAUAAUUACUAGAUUUAUUGGGAGGGAGACUACACAAACCCCAAGAGUAGUCGAUGUGUGCGCAAGUUUACUCGAAAAAGAAAAAAAAAGCAAAGUAAUGCAUACUGACUGACUCGAAAAAAAAAAAAGCAAAGUAAUGCAUAAAUGCUGACAUUUUUUUAUAUGGGUUAAUCAAUUUACCUCCUUCGGUUUCUUGAAAUGUAAAAUCCACCCCUCGUAUUUUGAAAAUUAUUUGUACUCACCUAGAGCCCCUCCUUCCCAAUGCUGCACCACCGUCCUCAAUAACAUGUUGAAGGCUUUUUCUUCAGUUUAGUAUUGUACAAGUUCAACUUCAUUAUGAUGCUUUACCCUUGCAUUGCAUCACUUAUAGAAAUAUAUGAUUAUCUAGUUGCUUAUCGAUCUUUUGUUAUUUACUACUUGGUGUGAAAAAUGAUGCUAUAGGCAAGGUGAAGAUUACUUGGAGACUCGGGGCCGUCGUUUGCCCGCCGUGACCGGUAACUUUAAUCGCCGUAAUUUUGCUUGCGUACUCCUCCUUUUCCCUCUUAUAAUAUAUCGUUGGAAAGCUCUCGACUAGACGAAUGACCUUGGAACGUGAAAAACGCUUCUUAAGUAUGGUUUUGGGCCCGUUUAGUAUUUUGGGCCUGUUUGGGAUUGUUUUCUAAGGUUUCGUUUAAUUUAUUCUGUAACCCGAUUUGUCCGGGCCCUUAGGGUUUUGUGAACCAUAUUUAUACUCUAGUUCUUUAGGGUUUCGUAGUUUUUGGAGAAUAAUAUAUUGGUGCGUUUUCCAAUCGUUCGGUAUUCUUGCGAGACAACGGAUCGUUGAUUGCCUCUUUAUAUGGUAUUCGAUUGAAUCAAUAGUUUAGGAAAGCUUGGUUUCUUCGGAUCAACGGAUAUUGAGUUCUUGUAAGGUCCGCUUUUGCAUCAGAAAAUGAAAAGUGAAUUGUAUUUGUUACAUAUCACACGGGAAUUUAUUUUAUGAUUCACACUUCACCUUCCGUAUGAAAGUCCUCCUUUAUCGCUGGUCACAAUCAUGUUUCUUUUUCGGUAUUUUCUUUAUUUUAGGAAUGGUUCCAAACUGUGAACCUUGUUUAUCAUGUUAAGUUUGCAGGACAAGUUCCAUGGCCAAUACAAAUAUUCGAUAUGUGGAUUACUUUCGGCGGAGCUUCGCUUAUUCGAAUCAAUCAAUAACCCCUAGCCAGUUUGCCAGGCUUGGUGCUCAAUACAAAGAAGGAAAUUACAUAGUUGAUCAUUUGGAAUUCAACACCGGUAGGUUCCUAGACCUUUUGAUUGGUGCGUUUAUAUCUUUUAUUACCAAAUGAUGAAACAAGCCUUUGUGGUUCAACUUUGCAAUCAAUUGGGGAGGGUGGCAUGAAGUCUUUUACACAAUUCCACAUUGUCAAGUCACUUCUUAUACUGUCUUUUAUAUUACUAGCAGUGUUUAUUCUUCUCCAUGAUUAUCCAUCAUCCAUGGAUAAUUAUCAAUAAUAGGAUGCAAUUGUCGGAGCAUAUUCUGAUGCCAGUUAUCUAUAGGCUAAGUGGAUCUCAUAAUUGAUAAAUUCAUACCGGAGCUUUAAAGAACU
rnacentral:lncRNA from 1 species